GGGGAAUUUUCCGCAAUGGGCGAAAGCCUGACGGAGCAAUACCGCGUGAGGGAGGAAGGCUCUUGGGUUGUAAACCUCUUUUCUCAGGGAAUAAGUACUGAAGGUACCUGAGGAAUCAGCAUCGGCUAACUCCGUGCCAGCAGCCGCGGUAAUACGGAGGAUGCAAGCGUUAUCCGGAAUGAUUGGGCGUAAAGCGUCCGCAGGUGGUUAUUCAAGUCUGCUGUCAAAGAAUCUGGCUCAACCAGAUAAAGGCAGUGGAAACUGAAAGACUAGAGUAUGGUAGGGGUAGAGGGAACUCCUGGUGUAGCGGUGAAAUGCGUAGAGAUCAGGAAGAACACCGGUGGCGAAAGCGCUCUGCUGGACCAUAACUGACACUGAGGGACGAAAGCUAGGGGAGCGAAUGGGAUUAGAUACCCCAGUAGUC
rnacentral:rRNA from 1 species